rnacentral:lncRNA from 1 species
CACAGAUUAUUUUUCAGUCUGUCGGCCUUUCCCCUAAAUCGAGCGCUAAAUUAGAAUUAUUGCUUAAAGACCCAGAAAGCUCAAAACUUUUAACGGCACACGAUGAUAAUGCUUACAAGAGUUGCGCGAAAAAUUCCACCAUCAGCUACAAAGUCUCCAAGAGCGUGGAGCAACAGCAAAACUAUGGAUCCAAUACCUUGGUAUGGUUAAACUCAUGAAGCAGUUCAUAGCCGCAGAGAGAAUGGGGGACUGGGAUCUACACCUCGCCACCAUUAAACUAAUGCUACCAUACUUUUACGCCAGUGGUCACUUUCCGUACACCCGAGGCUGUUUAAUUUACUUGCGAAAGAUGCACGAUCUCGAAAAUAUAAUGGACCCUGUAGAAUACGAAAAUUUUACAAAAGGAGGCAAAUUUACAGUUCGGCGCACAGAUAAAUUCUGGAGUGCGGUUUGGUCCGAUAUGCUGAUUGAGCAGUCGCUUAUGAAAAGUAUGAAAACUAGUGGUGGACUCACUCGUGGCAGAGGAUUUAGCGAAAGUACACUUGCAACGUGGAUCAUGGGAAUGGUAUCUUUACAUAAUGUUUGUGAUAGCGUUGAGAAGUUUUGCGGCGUGAAUUUUGAAACAUCUGAACAGCAUGUGCAGCUACGGAGUUCGCGGAUAAAGCGUGAUAAUAAGGAUACGCAGGUGCUCAAAGAUUGGUUUGAUCAGCAUUCUCCGUUUCCAGAGCUGAAAGAUCUUAUGUGUAUAGACUCUGGCAUAAUAGCUGAUGAACAUAUUGAUUGUCAUAAGGCUGAGGAACUAGGUAUUAGCGGGUUAUUAGAAAUUGUUGAUAUAGACUUCGAAUCGCUGAAAUUUCAGCGGAAAAAUCGCUGCAAGCCCUUAAGUUGCCUUAAAACAUCGAUCAAAGUUGAUGAUGACGUCAUUCCUAUUGAUCCACUAUUAAUAUUGAGUAGAAUGUGCAUUGCCAAAAAAUCGGACGAUGAACUGAAAAGCUUUCUGUCCUUCGAACUUGC